GAGCAUGAGAAGAAGAUAAAGAAGGAGAAAGGUAAAUAUAAUGAGGUAGAAAAAAAGCUUAUUACUAUAAGGCUUCAAGUUCAAAGUCCUCAACCAAUGAGCAAAUUUAUUGUGAAACAAGAGAUGACAAGAAUUUAGAUGAUAAAGAUAUGAGGUUGUUUGUCAAAAGGUACAAUUGAUACAUAUGGAAAAAUAGAGUCAAGCACUCUAACAAGAAACUAAUCAAAUUUAAAAGGCUAUCUGACUCCUCAAAGGAAGAUGAGAAGAAGAAUGGUAAACUUAGAAGUUCAUGCUACAAUUAUGAAAAAGUCAGUCAUUAUAAGUCGGAUUGCCCUAUGAUCAAGAAAGACAAAGAGAAAG
rnacentral:lncRNA from 1 species